rnacentral:misc_RNA from 1 species
AAACAAUUUAUUUUAUUCUUAAAUUUGUGCAGAGUAUUUUAGGGUGUUCUUCCUUUUGGAAAAUUUUCAAGAAAUUUUUCUAUUAAACUAAAGAACUUUUAGGAAAUGUGUUUGGGAGUUGAGAAAAGCAAACAGUUUUCAGAAAAGCAGAUUUUCCAUAUAGAGGCUUUUCCUGGUUGUCUCUUGAAAUUGAACAGAGAGGUGGAAAACCUAUCUGUUUUCAACUUAAAGAAAAAGUUUCUAUUUUCAUCAGGUACACAUUUUGUGCAUUUUCUCAUGGAUAAUUGUAUUAUAAAAUGAGAUGAAAAUUAGAAGACAAAUUGAAGCUA